UCAUCGCGCCGGCGCCUGGAGGACCCGUCCCUGCGGCCUGCAUACUGUAAGUAAGGGUAUGCUCAGGGUCCAGGGGAUUAUGGAAACAGGAUAUGCGCCACUGUUAGGAGGAGGGGGGUCAGAGAAAAGGGAAUAUUUAAUGAGGGUCUGCAGCAGGGACGUGCACACAUAGGAGUGAAAGGGGGCUGGAGCCCCUGCCCUUUUCCUCACCUGCCCCUCUAGUGCCCUCACAAAAGGAGGUGCAGACUCAGGCUGACAAGUGAAGUAAAAAGGAUCCAUUGCUGGAGAUUUGUAUGUGGUUUAAUGGAGGGUGCUGUGCCCUCCCUGCAGCAAGGGGGCGCCACUCACCCUGUCAUUAUCUGCCAUUUCUUUGCUUCUCUCCACACGGAGGAGACAGGAGCAGAGGAGGCAGAGGGAGGCAGAGGGAGGCCCCGCCCACAACAUGUCCGGCCACAAACCAGUCUAAGCAGCCCUUACUAGGAUCAGAAUGCAUUGGCAUAGUGAGGAGACGUCUGGGCAUCAAGUUCUGCAGAGAGAAGAUUUAGCUGGAACAAAUCCUGGCGCCAAUCAGAGAGCAGCACUACUGAAAUAGAACUCCCAGGAGGUAACAGCGUGUCACACAUGUGAUGUCAUAACCAUUGUCCACCAAAGAGCAGCACUGAGCAGAAAUAACACUGCUCCUGUUCAUUUUCCAUCAGUGAGGGGCCGGUGCUGGACACUGUGUAGGGACGCGGGAAUGCAAAGUCAUACACAUGACUGUGACUGAUGCACUAUCUCCAGGACAUGGAGUAGCAUUUCCGGACCUACAGCAAGACGUUGGAUGAAGGCAUAGCCCCAGAAAUAACACUGGUCCUGUUCAUCAGUGAGGGGCCGGUGCUGGACACUGUGUAGGGACACGGGAAUGCAAAGUCAUGCACAUGACUGUGACUGAUGCACUAUUUCCAGGACAUGGAGUAGCAUUUCGGGACCUACAGCAAGACGUUGGAUGAAGGCACAGGCCUAGGAAUCAUGCACAUACACAGAAACAUUUGCCCAAAUUAUAGAGGUAACCUCCUUUAGUAUGCCCAGAGGAAGGGCCAUACAGUAGCCAUGGAUUCCCUACAGGUUUCCUCCCCUCUGGAGGUUUUUCCUGUCCUGAGUAUUAGUUACUGUACGCUCUUUGUGAGUGAUGGGAGGUUACAAAAAGUCCCCUACACAAACAUUUUAAUAAAUAAUAAAUAAAGUUCCC